CCUACGGGAGGCAGCAGUGAGGAAUAUUGGUCAAUGGACGAGAGUCUGAACCAGCCAAGUAGCGUGAAGGAUGACUGCCCUAUGGGUUGUAACCUUCUUUUAUAUGGGAAUAAAAUGUUCCACGUGUGGAAUAUUGUCUGUACCACAUGAAUAAGGCACGGCCAACUCCGUGCAAGCAGCCGCGGUAAUACGGAGGAUCCGAGCGUUAUCCGGAUGUAGGGGGUUUAAAGGGCGCGUAGGUGGAUUGUUAAGUCAGUUGUGAAAGUCUACGGCUCAACCGUAGAAUUGCAGUUGAAACUGGCAGUCGUGAGUACAGUAGAGGUAGGCGGAAUUCGUGGUGUAGCGGUGAAAUGCUUAGAUAUCACGAAGAACUCCGAUUGCGAAGGCAGCUCACUGGACUGCAACUGACACUGAGGCUCGAAAGUGUGGGUAUCAAACAGGAUUAGAUACCCGAGUAGUC
rnacentral:rRNA from 1 species